UGUAUCUUGUCUUCCCAUGAACAAGAAUGGACUCUUGGCUAGUGACUCGAUAACCAAGUUUCUGCCAACCCAGUCAAGAACUGAUUCUAUCAAAGCUACUAGUACUACAAUAAUCACCAAGAACAUCCACCUGUAUCAUGGAAGUUCAAUAACAAGUGGCCCUAAAGAGAUAAGAUAAAGAAGGAUAUAAAAAUGGUUGGGAUUAGAGGGAAUUUUCAAUGGCCU
rnacentral:lncRNA from 1 species